AUUGAACGCUGGCGGCAGGCCUAACACAUGCAAGUCGAGCGGAUGAAGGGAGCUUGCUCCUGGAUUCAGCGGCGGACGGGUGAGUAAUGCCUAGGAAUCUGCCUGGUAGUGGGGGAUAACGUCCGGAAACGGGCGCUAAUACCGCAUACGUCCUGAGGGGGAAAGUGGGGGAUCUUCGGACCUCACGCUAUCAGAUGAGCCUAGGUCGGAUUAGCUAGUUGGUGGGGUAAAGGCCUACCAAGGCGACGAUCCGUAACUGGUCUGAGAGGAUGAUCAGUCACACUGGAACUGAGACACGGUCCAGACUCCUACGGGAGGCAGCAGUGGGGAAUAUUGGACAAUGGGCGAAAGCCUGAUCCAGCCAUGCCGCGUGUGUGAAGAAGGUCUUCGGAUUGUAAAGCACUUUAAGUUGGGAGGAAGGGCAGUAAGUUAAUACCUGGCUGUUUGGACGUUACCAACAGAAUAAGCACCGGCUACUUCGUG
rnacentral:rRNA from 1 species